GAAACACACUAGAGAUAUUGUCGGGUGUUCGGUCAGAAUCAGGUUUGGAGGGAGAGGUAGUGUUUGGGGCAUUUAAUGAAUCACUACAAAUGGGGGAAGUGAAAAUUUAACAGAUAAUUGUGUUUCUACAGGAACAGGGGGUGAGGUUGCUGAUGGAGAUGAUAACAUAGUGGACUGAGACGUUAUGUUGCUUGCAUCUGCUGUUGAUGAUUUAACUUUUUCAGAUAAUGAGGUAAGUACUGGUUGUGAAUCUGAGUCAGUGGUAACACAAGGGAUGGAAGAUAUAAAGGGAGAUGAGCUUUCAGGGGUUAAGACAGGUUCGCAGGACUUUUCAGAGUCUAAGGAUGAGCUGGGAACAUUAGGUUUUGGUGUAGAAGGUCUUGUCUUAGACUUUCUCUGUUUAAGAAACUGAGCAAGGAGUGGUAGGGGUACACGUUCUGGCCGCUUAUGUGGUAAAGCUUUCUUUGUGUUUGCUUCAGACUUGGCCUCAGUGUCCAGAGAAGAAGAGUCCAGAGUCUCCAUCUCCUUUCCAUAAAUUUGGUUCACUGGAUGGCAAUGUAAUCUCGUCAGCUUUGUGUUCAUGUAUUUCUGUUUUAUUCUCAUCUAAUUUCAACUCUGUUUUUGAGGAGGUGUCUGUGCUUUUACAUCUGUGAAUGUCACCAACCAAAGUUUCAUCUUUACUAACAACUUUUUAGUAUUUUUUUCUGUUUUGGAUAUGUCCAAUCCUUCCUUUUGUUCACUUGUUGUGGAUGUUUGCAAGACCACAUUUUUCUUGAUAUUCUCAAGUGAUAACCUUUUUACUUUCACAUGAGCACCUUUAAUAAAGUCUGAGAAUGCCAAUGACAAUGGGCGCUUCUUGCUGCUGUCAGAGAAAGGGAGAGAAAAGACAAACAUUGUUAAAUUUGUCAAAAUUGGCAAAUAUGUACAACAUCUGAAAAUAUUUUUAUAUGUAGGCUACAGCCUAAAACACACUAUGCAAGUAUGUGAAUGCAAACACUUCUUUCUCUUUCUGGCUGAUAUGAUAAUGGAUCAAACGCUUGAAGAGAAUCUCGCUGAGAACGUUAGAAAAAUUGUCAACAUGUUUAUGGCUAGCUACCUGAAUAAUACCACAGCCAGUUUACAGGGAUAGUUCGCCCAAAAAUUAAAAUUCUGUCUUUAAUUACUCACCCGCAUGUCAUUCCAAACCCGCAAGACCUUCGUUCAUCUUCGGAACACAAAUUAAGAUAUUUUUUUAUGAAAUCCAUGUGCUUUCUGACCCUGCAUAGACAGCAACACAGCUACCACGUUCAAAGCCCAGAAAGUUAGUAAGGACAUCGUUAAAAUAAUCCAUGUGAACCGUAAUUUUAUGAAGUUACAAGAAUAAUUUUUGUGCACAAAGAAAACAAAAAUAACAACAACUUUUUCAUGUGGUGCUGCUGAUGCAGGAGCCGGUGACAUAGAACCCAGAUGUGCUGCACCUUGUUUAAAAAGCAGUACAUAAAACAGUCUUCGUAAGCAUGUCUGAAGAUUUCGACAGAGAGGAUGACUUUCUAUUUUUUGCCCAGCCUUAUUUUAACCAGAAUACAGACGAUGAACUAAGAGAUAUGGACAUUCUACAUCAGAACGCCGACUCCUGCGUCAACAGCACCACACGCAUAUGUUGUGGUACUCUUGUAAACGCGCAUUGAAGACUGACACGGAAGAAAAUAAGUUGUUGAAUAAAGUCAUUAUUUUUGUUUUCUUUGCACACAAAAUGAAUUUUGUAGCUUGAUAAAGUUAUGGCUGAACCACUGAUGUCACAUGGACUAUUUUAACGAUGUCCUUACUACCUUUCUAGGCCUUGAACAUGGUAGUGCCGUUGCUGUUUAUGCAGGGUCAGAAAGCUCUUGGAUUUCAUAAAAAAUAUCUUAAUUUGUUUUCCGAAGAUGAACGAAGGUCUUACAGGUUUGGAACAACAUGAGGGUGAGUAACUAAUGACAGAAUUUUUUUUUUUAAGUGAACUAUCCCUUUAACUGCACAGAAAUCUGAAGAUAACUAUACUGAGUACUGAGGUAUAAUGCUACUGUAAUGCAAGAAUGCAUGUCAAGUUCAUACAACAGGACAAUGAAUUGGUCAAGCAUUCAAACACUUGCGUAGAGUAUGUUUCUUGUGGAAAUCUGAUUCAAAGUAAAGCAAUCUUUUGCUUCAGUUUGAUAAAUUUAUGUUGAUAAAAACUACUUACCACAAACUUUGAACAUUUGCAUCUACAACGGGUACACAUCGACCAUUAACCAGACUUUCCUUUCUUCCUAUUUGUAAGGGUACUAGGGAAACAGUUUACCGAAGAUGAACGAAGGUCUUACAGGUUUGGAACAACAUGAGGGUGAGUAACUAAUGACAGUUAAUUUUUUAAGUGAACUAUCCCUUUAACUGCACAGAAAUCUGAAGAUAACUAUACUGAGUACUGAGGUAUAAUGCUACUGUAAUGCAAGAAUGCAUGUCAAGUUCAUACAACAGGACAAUGAAUUGGUCAAGCAUUCAAACACUUGCGUAGAGUAUGUUAAUA
rnacentral:lncRNA from 1 species